ACCCUGCGGAGAGCCCUGCGCUAAGCCUGGGCGGUGGUUAGUUGCUCUGGCGGUGGGCUGUGCCAGCUUGGCCCACGGUGCCCACGUGGGCCACGGCCUGGCCUGUCUGCUCCUCACUUUGUCCCAAGCCCUUGCACCAGGGCCGGGACUCGGGGAUGGUCUCAUCUCUCCACUUAUUCUCACCCACGGGGUGAGCUCUCUCUGGAGAAUACCCCUUUUGAUGGCUCCAGUGAUACUGUCGGUGAGCCCCAGGGACUCACCCACAAAAUAAAGGGACAGCGAUGCAUACUCGCUGCCUGGCCAAGGUUGGAUGCCCUCGUUUGAUGCUGUCAGGGUGGUGGUGGUGCGCUCCUUUCACAGAGCUCAGGAGGCAGAAGCAGGCGGAUCUCUGUGAGUUUGAGGCCAGCCUGGUCUAUGGAACGAGUUCCAGGACAGUCAAAAGUACACAGACACCCUGUCUUAUCUGGAGGCCCUUGCCCGACGCGCAUACGGUCCAGUGGCAUGUGAACUGUACCAAGAGGGUAACACAGACUCGGGUGUUACAGGCCCCAAGUACUCCAACAAAACAAAGGUUUCACUUUAGCGGUUCUUGCUAAGCACAGCUGAUUCUUCAGCCCCAGAAGAAUUCGGUUCCCAAAGAAACCAGAACCACAGAUUCUUCACAAAAUGGCAGUAGAGCCUUUGCUUCCCUCUGAAAUGUCACAAGCCAGCUCUCCAUCAUCUGCACCGCUCUCAACGCUUGUAUCUUCCAGGCUCCUACACAACAGCUCCCUGAGCUCUCAACACACAAUGGCUUUUUCCAAAACUCAAAGUCCUUCUACAAUUCUCCCCGCACGAUCAGGUCUGCCCCAGCAAUACCCCCACUAUGCUGCCACCAGUUUGUUUAGUUGGGGUUUUAAUUGCUGUAACAAAAAAAACAUGAUAACUAAAAAGCAAGUUGGAGAGACAAAGGUUUAUUUGGCUUACACUUCCCACAUCACAGUUCAUGACCAAGGGAAGUCGGGACAGGAACUCAAGCAGGGCAAGAUAAAUAAAAGAGGCAGGAACUAAUAAAGAGGCCACGGAGGGGUGCUGCUUACUGACUUGCUCCAUAUGGCUGGCUCAGCCUGCUUUCUUAUAGAACCCAGAACUGCCAGUUCAAGGGUGGCACUGCCCACAAUGGGCUGGACCCUCCCCCAUCAAUCACUAAUUAAGAAAAUGCCCUACAAGCUUGCCUACACCCUAAUUCUUUUUUUAAAAAAUAUUUAUUUAUUAUGUAUACAAUAUUCUGUCUGUAUGUAUGCCUGCAGGCCAGAAGAGGGCACCAGACCCCAUUACAGAUGGUUGUGAGCCACCAUGUGGUUGCUGGGAAUUGAACUCAGGACCUUUGGAAAAGCAGGCAGUGCUCUUAACCUCAGCCAUCUCUCCAGCUCCUACAACCUAAUUUUUAUGAAGGCCUUUUCUCAAUUGAGGGUCCCUCCUCGGUGAUGACUCUAGCUUGUGUCAAGUUCACAUAAAACUAUCCAGCAUAUAUGACCAGAGGAGAAUCACUUAAGAGUUAUUACUUUACCUGAUGAAACAGAUUUGGAUUGGAAUUAAUGCAAACUGUUCUUCAUUUAAAAAAAAAAAGUCAGGGUGGGACUGAAGAGAUGGCUUGAUUUAGAACACUGACUGCUCUUCCAGAAGACCUGGGUUCAAUUCCCAGCACCCACAUGGCAACUCACAACUGUCUGUAACUCCCACACCCAGCAGAUCGGACACCAUCACACUGGCAUACAUGAAGGCAAAACACCAAUACACAUAAAUAAAAUAUCAAAAAAAGAGAGAGAGAGAGAGAGAAAGAGAGAAGUGGUAUCCUCUGAAGGCUUCUGUUCUCCUGGUGGUUACAUAAAGGGUGUUCAAGUAAGACCGUGAAUGUAAGGCUAACAGCUGACAUCCCAGACAGCUACUAGGACAAUCUUGAGCUCCAGACCAGCCUAAGCAACGUGUA